GAUGAAGUUCCUUCGGGAAUGGAUUAGUGGCGAACGGGUGAGGAACACGUGAGAAACCUGCCUUUCAUUCUGGGAUAACACCGGGAAACCGGUGCUGAUACCGGAUACUCCAUCUUGGCGGCAUCGCCGAGCUGGGAAAAAAUUUUGAUGAAAGAUGGUCUCGCGGCCUAUCAGCUAGUUGGUGAGGUAAAGGCUCACCAAGGCGACGACGGGUAGCCGGCCUGAGAGGGCGACCGGCCACACUGGGACUGAGACACGGCCCAGACUCCUACGGGAGGCAGCAGUAGGGAAUAUUGGGCAAUGGGCGAAAGCCUGACCCAGCGACGCCGCGUGAGGGAUGAAGGUCUUCGGAUUGUAAACCUCUUUCAGUAGGGAAGAAGCGAAAGUGACGGUACCUAAAGAAGAAGCACCGGCUAACUAUGUGCCAGCAGCCGCGGUAAUACAUAGGGUGCAAGCGUUGUCCGGAAUCAUUGGGCGUAAAGAGCUCGUAGGUCGUUUGUCGCGUCGAUUGUGAAAAUCUGAGGCUCAACCUCAGACCUGCAGUCGAUACGGGCAAACUAGAGUGUGGUAGGGGAGACUGGAAUUCCUGGUGUAGCGGUGGAAUGCGCAGAUAUCAGGAGGAACACCAAUGGCGAAGGCAGGCCUCUGGGCCAUAACUGACACUGAGGAGCGAAAGUGCGGGGAGCGAACAGGAUUAGAUACCCUGGUAGUCCGCACCGUAAACGGUGGGCACUAGUUGUGGGAACCUUCCACGGUUUCCGCGACGCAGCAAACGCAUUAAGUGCCCCGCCUGGGGAGUACGAUCGCAAGAUUAAAACUCAAA
rnacentral:rRNA from 1 species